rnacentral:rRNA from 1 species
UACGAAGGGGGCUAGCGUUGCUCGGAAUUACUGGGCGUAAAGCGCACGUAGGCGGCUCUUUAAGUCGGAGGUGAAAUCCUGGAGCUCAACUCCAGAACUGCCUUCGAUACUGUAGAGCUUGAGUUCGGGAGAGGUGAGUGGAACUGCGAGUGUAGAGGUGAAAUUCGUAGAUAUUCGCAAGAACACCAGUGGCGAAGGCGGCUGACUGGUCCGGUUCUGACGCUGAGGCGCGAAAGCGUGGGGAGCAAACAGG